AACGAACGCUGGCGGCAUGCCUAACACAUGCAAGUCGAACGAGACCUUCGGGUCUAGUGGCGCACGGGUGCGUAACGCGUGGGAACCUGCCCUUAGGUUCGGAAUAACUCCCCGAAAGGGGUGCUAAUACCGGAUAAUGUCUUCGGACCAAAGAUUUAUCGCCUUUGGAUGGGCCCGCGUUGGAUUAGCUAGUUGGUAGGGUAAAAGCCUACCAAGGCGACGAUCCGUAGCUGGUCUGAGAGGAUGAUCAGCCACACUGGGACUGAGACACGGCCCAGACUCCUACGGGAGGCAGCAGUGGCGAAUAUUGGACAAUGGGCGAAAGCCUGAUCCAGCAAUGCCGCGUGAGUGAUGAAGGCCUUAGGGUUGUAAAGCUCUUUUACCCGGGAUGAUAAUGACAGUACCGGGAGAAUAAGCGCCGGCUAACUCCGUG
rnacentral:rRNA from 1 species